GUGGUCAUUUCUGGAACUGAGAAACAAGCUGGUAGGGUCGAGUCUGCACCAAUGUUUUGUCUUUUUUGAAGUAGCCUUCUCGCUCCUUUUACUCUUCUUAUAACCCCCUUACCCUAUCAUUCUCUUCAUCAUCAUCAUUUCAUCUUACAAAAUCCAAAACCCCCUCAUUUCUUUCUCUGCCUUCCCUUUCAUCCCCCUUGAAGGUAGCCGGGACUCUUGGGGAAUUGAAAACACACAUGAAACCCCUUUUAUGCUAGCAGAAGCAUUCAAGGUUUUAUUUCAUGGGGAGCUUUUUCUUUUGAGGGGAAUGUUGUCUGGCUCGAGGACUCUUCAUACGAUCCAUAUAGAUCUGUUUUCUUUUUUUUUUUAAAUCAAUUAUCUAAUUGAUCAUUUGUAGAGUCGUCGGACCAGGCUUCAUUCCCCCCAAUCGUUGCUUCCAGAUUCAUUCAUCAUUGUAUGUACAGAUUUCUCAGCAUAUUUCUUAAUGGUGCUUACUCCAUAACACUCAUCUAUCAGGUAAGAACCUGGUUCGUUUAUUUGUUUCCAUGGCUUUUCUAUGAACUGAAUGAAAAACUUUUUUUUUAAGUCAAUUAAUUAAUUUAUUUAUUGCUGUAAAUUGUGCAUAGCAUUUGAAGUUAAGCACAAGAAAAUGACAGCUCCUGCAAGGAGACUAUUAAAUCCGUGAUGGUAGUGGUAGUGGUAUGGGUAUGGUGGUGGGUGAGUCUGGGGAUUGACCACUGGCCUCAGCUUUGUCAUCUCCUAUCUCAAAACCCUAAUUUCCUUUCAUCCAUAUAUCAUUAUUCAAAAAUUUAUUAUACGAUGCAUUUCAUGUCAGUUGUUCCAUAAAAUGUCCUUUCCUUCUUCCUUGGUUUCACCAAAUCUCUUUGUUUCAGGGUUAUUGGACAAAGGAUAUUGAGUUGAAGCAUUUCUAGAUAUAAUCCAUAUGCAGGUGAUUGAAUGGUUUUCAUUUUGCUUAUAAAAGAGCUAGAAAUACAUAUCUUCAUGAGCAAUAGAUAGCCAUAAAUUCUUGAAAGAAAAGGUUAUUGAAAUUUAUUAACCAGUUAUGGUUAGUAAAGAUUUUGAAGAUAAAAUAAUAAAAUACAUGUGCUUAAACGAGUAAACUGUCAUUUGAAGUUCUAUUUCCUAUGCCAGUGCUUCAUUAAUUAAUGCAUUUCAGGGAACUAAUGAUUAAAACCCAGGUGCCAAAAUUGUUGUGAAUAUUAAGUGACUUUUCCUACGAUUUAUGUGAUUAAUAACAGAGGAUACGAGGGAUACAAAGCCACACAAAAUUGUUUCUUGGUAAGGGUGGAACCAUGGAAGAGUUUUCUAGCCCUUUAUAGCUGGGCAACACUUAUCCCGGUAGCAUUAGGCCUUCACGGCUACUGUUUUCUCUGAUUUAUGUCUCACAUGUACAGCACUUGCUAAAACGUCAGCAGAAAGAUGAGCCCUUUAUGUAAUUUACAAAGGCCAUGAGCAAGAGAAAUUUCUUAAUAUAAAAAUGCUUGGUUUGGAAUCUAGGAAGCAAGUGUCAGGUUCUCUUUCCUGUAUUUGAAAAUCAACUUACCACAAAUAUGUAAAUUCUGCUCCCUUAAGAGUAAUGAAACCAUUACCAAUGUGUUGAAUUAAAUGGAUGUUUAUCUUCUUACCUAAGAUAAAGGAAUGGCUUUUGGGAAAUUGCAUCUUUUUGACCUUACCUAACAUAAAGUAAAACCCUUGUUGCUUUGCUUUA